GCUAAACGCGAAGAACCUUACCUGGUCUUGACAUGCACUGUGUCUCCCGUGAAAGCGGGAUAGGAUAGCAAUAUCCGCUUUGCACAGGUGCUGCAUGGCUGUCGUCAGCUCGUGUCGUGAGAUGUUGGGUUAAGUCCCGCAGCGAGCGCAACCCCUGUGGUUUGUUGCCACCCGGUUUACCGGAGCACUCGAACCAGACUGCCUCGAUCAACGAGGAGGAAGGUGGGGAUGACGUCAAGUCCGUAUGGCCCUUACGACCAGGGCUGCACACGUACUACAAUGCCCAGCACAAUGUGAACCGAAACCGCGAGGUGGAGGAAAUCAGCAAAACUGGGCUCAGUUCAGAUUGCAGUCUGCAACUCGACUGCAUGAAGUUGGAAUCGCUAGUAAUGGUACAUCAGCUACGGUACCGUGAAUACGUUCCCGGGUCUUGUACACACCG
rnacentral:rRNA from 1 species